UACGUAGGGUGCGAGCGUUAAUCGGAAUUACUGGGCGUAAAGCGUGCGCAGGCGGCGCGUUAAGACAGGUGUGAAAGCCCCGAGCUUAACUUGGGAAUUGCGCUUGUGACUGGCGAGCUGGAGUGUGGCAGAGGGAGGUGGAAUUCCACGUGUAGCAGUGAAAUGCGUAGAUAUGCGGAGGAACACCGAUGGCGAAGGCAAUCCCCUGGGCCUGCACUGACGCUCAUGCACGAAAGCGUGGGGAGCAAACAGG
rnacentral:rRNA from 1 species